UGGCGCACGGGUGAGUAACACGUGGAUGAUCUGCCUCUAUGAUGGGGAUAACAGUUGGAAACGACUGCUAAUACCGAAUACGCUCAUGAUGAACGUUGUGAGGAAAGGUGGCCUCUGCUUGCAAGCUAUCGCAUAGAGAUGAGUCCGCGUCCCAUUAGCUCGUUGGUGGGGUAACGGCCUACCAAGGCAACGAUGGGUAGCCGAUCUGAGAGGAUGAUCGGCCACACUGGAACUGAAACACGGUCCAGACUCC
rnacentral:rRNA from 1 species